rnacentral:misc_RNA from 1 species
UCAAGUGCGGCAUAGCCCCUUGGCCUUCGGGUUUCUUGCGUUGCCUACCGACACGAUGGCAUCUGUUUUUGUCCCAACGACCCUCGUUCGUUUAGUGCUCCCCUUUGGUUGGGGCACAAGGCGAAACUUGUAGCUUGUUCUGUUAGCCACGUCGCGUCUGGCUGUCGUGGUGAACGGGGCACUGCUUAAGAGCUCUCGGAUAUGGAAAGCAUUGAGGGCAUUGACAUCUCAUCCUUGCCCAAGCAUGCAUUUGAUGGACCCCAACACCUGUGCACGACUGUCGCUCCCGCGUCGGUUCGGCCGUGCGGGCAUGACGUCGUUGAGGAAUGCUACCUGGUUGAUCCUGCCAGUA